UGGGGAAUAUUGCACAAUGGGCGCAAGCCUGAUGCAGCCAUGCCGCGUGUAUGAAGAAGGCCUUCGGGUUGUAAAGUACUUUCAGCGAGGAGGAAGGCGGUAAGGUUAAUAACCUUAUCGAUUGACGUUACUCGCAGAAGAAGCACCGGCUAACUCCGUGCCAGCAGCCGCGGUAAUACGGAGGGUGCACGCGUUAAUCGGAAUUACUGGGCGUAAAGCGCACGCAGGCGGUCUGUCAAGUCGGAUGUGAAAUCCCCGGGCUCAACCUGGGAACUGCAUUCGAAACUGGCAGGCUAGAGUCUUGUAGAGGGGGGUAGAAUUCCAGGUGUAGCGGUGAAAUGCGUAGAGAUCUGGAGGAAUACCGGUGGCGAAGGCGGCCCCCUGGACAAAGACUGACGCUCAGGUGCGAAAGCGUGGGGAGCAAACA
rnacentral:rRNA from 1 species